UACAGAGGGUGCAAGCGUUGUUCGGAAUUAUUGGGCGUAAAGCGCGUGUAGGCGGCUUUGCAAGUCUGGCGUGAAAGCCCCCGGCUCAACCGGGGAGGGUCGUCGGAGACUGGGCGGCUUGAGGGCGGUAGGGGCUGGUGGAAUUCCCGGUGUAGUGGUGAAAUGCGUAGAGAUCGGGAGGAACACCCGUGGCGAAGGCGGCCAGCUGGGCCGUCCCUGACGCUGAGGCGCGAAGGCGUGGGGAGCGAACGGG
rnacentral:rRNA from 1 species